rnacentral:lncRNA from 1 species
AUCCAGAAGGGAUUGUGCAAAAUAGGGUGGCUGAUGUGGGCCCUGGACCCCUGUCAUAAUAAGAGGAUCAAGGCUAAAACAUCUCUGCCCCAUGGAAAAGGCCAGCUGUCCUUAAGAUGGUCAGUUUCCCACCAGCCUGUCACAGACGAAGGAGACAGAACUACCAGGAUUGGCCUCUGGAGAUUGAUGACCAUUCUCCACGUCACCUCCAACUACUCCUGCCUUGGGGCAUCGUAGAUCAUUUUAACUCUGAACACACAGCCAAGGAGGUUGGCGCCUGAGCGAAGAUCUGUUGCCAACCUUUUCUUUUCUUUCCUUCUUCUUCUUCUCCCCAAAGGCCCCCCAGUACAUAGUUGUAUAUUCUAGUUGUAGGUCCUUCUGGUUGUGCUACGUGGGAUGCUGCCUCAGCACUGCCUGAUGAGUGGUGCCAUGUCCGUGCUCAGGAUCUGAACCGGUGAAACCCUGGGCCACCGAAGCAGAGCGCGCAAACUUAACCACUCGGCCACAGGGCCAGCCCCCAAACCCCAUCUCUUAUCAACAGAGUGAUUAAGAAAUUGUCUUUCGUAAAAUGUACAGUCAUGUAGCCAGAGCAUGCAGAGAAGAAGAAAUCUUGACCUGAAAUGACCAUGGAACCAGAGAUUCUCCUCCCCAUGGUGCUACUGAGCCAGGUUCAUUUUUGCCUGCCUCCCAGAAAGCCAAACACCGAGACAACGAGAUUGCAGCAGAGAGAGGGUUUACUCACAAGGCAGCCAUGAAAGGAAUCGAGAGCAUGAGUCUCAAAUUCGCUUCCCCAAAAAUAGAGACUCAGGGAUAUUUAUGGGAUGGGGGCAAGGUGUUCUGAAAUGUGGAGAGAGGUGACUGCAGGUGAGGAGAGGUGAGGGAAUUGAUGGUCUGUGCAAGUGCAGUCAGACUCCAUGUUCAUAGGACCCAUGUUCACAAAAUGGUGGCGUGAGCAUGAUCUGAGGGUGGAGUUUUUAGUCUCUUGACGUGAAAAGGUCGCCUAUUGGACAUCUGUGUGGGCACAGUUGAUGAGUUGGUGGUCUCAACCAGCCUGAAGUGGACAAG